rnacentral:misc_RNA from 1 species
UCUCCGUUGGUGAACCAGCGGAGGGAUCAUUACCGAAGUUACCUUCAAAACCCACUGUGAACCUUACCUCUUGCCGCGUUGUCUCGGCGGGAGGCGGUGUGCGUCGCGCGCCCUAGCGGGCCGCGCCGCUCCCGUCCCCGCCGGCAGCGCCAAACUCUAAAUGCACAGCGGACUGUACGUUCUGAUUUACAAAAAAAAACAAGUUAAAAUUUUCAACAACGGAUCUCUUGGUUCUG